UACGAAGGGGGCUAGCGUUGUUCGGAAUUACUGGGCGUAAAGCGCGCGCAGGCGGUCUUCCAAGUCAGUGGUGAAAGCCCGGAGCUCAACUCCGGAACUGCCAUUGAAACUGUUAGACUUGAGGAUGAGAGAGGUGAGUGGAAUUCCCAGUGUAGAGGUGAAAUUCGUAGAUAUUGGGAAGAACACCGGUGGCGAAGGCGGCGACCUGGUCCUUGACUGACGCUGAGGCGCGAAAGCGUGGGGAGCAA
rnacentral:rRNA from 1 species